CAGACGGACGAUUUCAUCCUCACACCAUGCCUUCCGUACUAUCUUCUUUAUCAACCACCACUCUCCACCACAACCGCCACCGUUUCUCCUCCGUACCAUCGAACUCUCCAAUUCAAUUUACAAACCAUCGAUCUCUAACAAUCAAAUCUUCAAUUGAGAACAAACCCAAAUCCAAACCCGGCUCCAUCGCGAAAAACGGGUCAUGGGUCAGCCCAGAUUGGCUCACCGCCUUGACUCGCUCCCUUUCCACCACCCAAUCCGACGAUUCAAACAUACCCAUUGCAAAUGCUAAGCUGGAAGAUGUAUCGGACCUUCUGGGUGGAGCCCUUUUUCUUCCGUUGUUCAAAUGGAUGAAUGAGUACGGACCUAUUUAUAGAUUAGCAGCUGGGCCAAGGAAUUUCGUGAUUGUUAGUGAUCCAUUAAUUGCCAAGCAUGUUUUGAGGAAUUAUGGAACUAAGUAUGCUAAAGGUCUUGUUGCUGAGGUGUCUGAGUUCUUGUUUGGUUCUGGUUUCGCCAUUGCUGAAGGUUCACUUUGGACGGCAAGGCGGAGGGCUGUAGUUCCAUCACUUCACAAGAAGUACUUAUCAGUAAUAGUUGAUCGAGUAUUUUGCAAAUGUUCCCAGAGGUUUGUGGACAAGCUCAAAUCGUUAGCACUCAAUGGCACUUCUGUUAACAUGGAGGAGCAGUUUUCUCAAUUAACCCUUGAUGUUAUUGGUCUGGCAGUAUUUAACUACAAUUUUGAUUCCCUCACUACUGAUAGUCCUGUGAUUGAAUCUGUUUACACCGCACUGAAAGAAGCCGAAGCCCGUUCAACCGACCUCUUACCAUAUUGGAAGAUUAAAGCAUUAUGUAAGAUCAUUCCAAGACAAAUAAAAGCCGAACAAGCAGUUACUGUGAUUAGAGAAACUGUGGAAGAGCUUAUUUUGAAAUGCAAGGAGAUUGUUGAAAAAGAAGGGGAAAGAAUCAAUGAGGAAGAUUAUGUGAACGACGCAGAUCCAAGCAUCCUCCGAUUCUUGCUUGCUAGCAGGGAGGAGGUUUCGAGUGAACAACUACGUGAUGACCUUUUGUCGAUGUUGGUUGCUGGACACGAGACCACUGGUUCAGUGUUAACGUGGACUACAUAUCUUUUAAGUAAGGAUCCAUCUUCUUUAAUGAAGGCGCAAGAAGAAGUUGACAGAGUGUUACAAGGCCGCCGACCGACUUAUGAAGACAUAAAGAACCUCAAGUUCCUGACACGAUGCAUAAAUGAGUCAAUGCGUCUCUACCCGCAUCCUCCGGUUGGUGUUGAUAAGAAGAGCUCAAGUUGCAGACGAGCUUCCUGGAAAUUACAAAGUCAAUCCUGGUCAAGAUAUUAUGAUAUCGGUGUAUAACAUCCAUCAUUCAUCCGAGGUCUGGGAAAGGGCUGAAGAAUUCAUACCCGAAAGAUUUGGCUUGGAUGGGCCCGUGCCAAAUGAAACGAACACCGAUUACAAGUUCAUCCCGUUCAGCGGCGGCCCACGUAAAUGCGUAGGUGAUCAGUUCGCCAUGCUGGAAGCGAUUGUUGCUCUUGCAAUCUUUUUGCAGAACAUGGACUUCGAGUUGGUUCCGAAUCAAAAGAUUAACAUGACAACGGGCGCCACGAUUCACACAACAAACGGUUUGUACAUGAAAAUCAGAGAGCGUCAAAUAAAUUCCACAACGAUGUCUUCAAUGUAGUUCGUGUACGCACAGGGAUUCAUCGUAAAUCUAUACGUAUAUCCAUUUUUUUUGUAUUUUUCGUAAUUGAACUUGUAGAGCGCGAGGUAAGGUAUCGUUGUAUUUUAACGAGUUGGUUAAUUUGAAUCGAGAAGCAUGUUAACCAAAUGAGUUAAUAUCGAAUACGAUUGAUGCGACAG